rnacentral:rRNA from 1 species
GAAAAUAAUUUUAGGUUGAAUYUGCUCCAUGAUAAAUAAUUAAAUAGCUGCAGAAUUUUGACUGUACAAAGGUAGCAUAAUCAAUAGUUUUUUAAUUGAAAGCUGGAAUGAAUGAUUUGAUAAGGUAAUUAUUGUCUCAGAUUUAUUAAAAUUAGAAUUUUUUUUAUUAGUAAAAAAGCUAAUUUAAAUUUAAAAGACAAGAAGACCCUAUAGAUUUUUAUAUUUUAUAAUAAAUUUAUAAAAUAAAAAUUUAUUAGAAAAAUAUUAGAUUGGGGAAAUAAUUAAAUUAAAAAAAUUUUAAUAGAAAAAAAAAACAAUAAUUAUUGGAUAAUUGAUCUUAUAUUUAUAAAUUAAUAGAAUAAAAUACCUUAGGGAUAACAGCGUAAUUUUUUUGGAAAGAUCAUAUAGAUAAAAAAGAUUGCGACCUCGAUGUUGAAUUAAGAUAAAAUUUUAAAGGAGAUAUUAAAAAUUUUUAG